CCUACGGGGAGCAGCAGUGGGGAAUAUUGCACAAUGGGGGAAACCCUGAUGCAGCGACGCCGCGUGAGUGAAGAAGUAUUUCGGUACGUAAAGCUCUAUCAGCAGGGAAGAAAAUGACGGUACCUGACUAAGAAGCCCCGGCUAACUACGUGCCAGCAGCCGCGGUAAUACGUAGGGGGCAAGCGUUAUCCGGAUUUACUGGGUGUAAAGGGAGCGUAGACGGCAGCGCAAGUCUGGAGUGAAAUCCCAUGGCUUAACCAUGGAACUGCUUUGGAAACUGUGCAGCUAGAGUGCAGGAGAGGUAAGCGGAAUUCCUAGGGUAGCGGUGAAAUGCGUAGAUAUUAGGAGGAACACCAGUGGCGAAGGCGGCUUACUGGACUGUAACUGACGUUGAGGCUCGAAAGCGUGGGGAGCAAACAGGAUUAGAUACCCUGGUAGUC
rnacentral:rRNA from 1 species